CAUCGAGUCUCACUUAAAAGAUUUAUCGGUAAAAGAUGGCUAUGCGUCCUAUUAGUUAGUUGGUAAGGUAAACGGCUUACCAAGGCAGCGAUAGGUAGGGGUCCUGAGAGGGAGAUCCCCCACACUGGUACUGAGACACGGACCAGACUCCUACGGGAGGCAGCAGUGAGGAAUAUUGGGCAAUGGAGGCAACUCUGACCCAGCCAUGCCGCGUGCAGGAAGACUGCCCUAUGGGUUGUAAACUGCUUUUAUACAGGAAGAAACACUGCUACGUGUAGCAGCUUGACGGUACUGUAAGAAUAAGGACCGGCUAACUCCGUGCCAGCAGCCGCGGUAAUACGGAGGGUCCGAGCGUUAUCCGGAAUCAUUGGGUUUAAAGGGUCCGUAGGUUGAUAAUUAAGUCAGAGGUGAAAUCUUGCAGCUCAACUGUAAAAUUGCCUUUGAUACUGGUUAUCUUGAGUUAUUAUGAAGUAGUUAGAAUAUGUAGUGUAGCGGUGAAAUGCAUAGAUAUUACAUAGAAUACCAAUUGCGAAGGCAGAUUACUAAUAAUCAACUGACACUGAUGGACGAAAGCGUGGGUAGCGAACAGGAUUAGAUACCCUGGUAGUCCACGCCGUAAACGAUGGUUACUAGCUGUUUGGACCUUGUGUCUGAGUGGCUAAGCGAAAGUGAUAAGUAACCCACCUGGGGAGUACGUUCGCAAGAAUGAAACUCAAAGGAAUUGACGGGGGCCCGCACAAGCGGUGGAGCAUGUGGUUUAAUUCGAUGAUACGCGAGGAACCUUACCAGGGCUUAAAUGUAAGUUGCAUUAGUUAGAGAUAACUAUUUCUUCGGACCACUUACAAG
rnacentral:rRNA from 1 species